AGUGCCUAGGUCUCAAACUAAUACCGAGUCCUACUUKCAACCGCCGUACGGAUUGUGUACGUUAAGCCUGCCCUUCCCACAAAGGUCACCGCCUGCCCACUCAUUGCAAAUUCUUGGACGGGAACCCUCCCCUAAGUUGUCGACCUUUGCCGACGAUUAUGGGGCAUCCGACUCCUCGUUUUCCACCUUAGGCGGGCUCCUCCC
rnacentral:rRNA from 1 species